rnacentral:rRNA from 1 species
AUGAAAUCUCGUAGUGAGGUUCUCUCUAUACACAAACGAUUUGCUGCCAUGGUUCACAGCCAGUUUUCCACGCCUAUUCAUAUUUUUCGUGCUGACUCCGCUGGAGAGUAUAUCUCCCAGCUGUUGCGUGGUUUUCUCGCAGAACAUGGUACCCUUGCCCAGUUCUCAUAUCCUGGUGCUCAUGCUCAGAAUGGUGUUGCAGAACGUAAGCAUCAUCAUCUGCUUGAGACGGCUCGUGCGCCGAUGAUUGCCGCCUCCCUUCCACCCCACUUUUGGGCUGAGGCUGUUUCUGCAUCCACCUAUCUCAUCAACAUCCAGCCAUAG